ensembl:lncRNA
CCGAUCACCAUAGUAACCACUAGCUGUCAGUUCAGCUUCUGACAUUUUUCUCAUUUGGCUUCUUGAUUUUUUUUGAAGUCUUCUGAGACCAAAAGAAAAAUAAAUCAAAGAAGACCUCUGACCUUGGGAUUUCAAAAGAGAAACCAGGAACAACAAUAAAAUGUCCCUAUCCCAUGACCCUGCCAGUUCUUCAGAAAAAUGAACUCUCCCAAAGUGACAAGGUAUCCUAGUAGAGGCAUCAGAAGGCUCCUGACCUUAGGAGAGUGCUGCCACCCAUUGGUCCCAUCAGAGAGAAGAGGGGCCUAGUUACCUGCUCCUAUCAGAAGCUGUCUGGGACCUAAGCCUGUUUUCUCCAGAACUUGAAAACCCAGAAAAGCAAGUUGUUCCAGGCACUGGUUUGGUGACUCAGUCAUUGUGCUUGGACAGAGGACCACUCUAAGUCCCCGCUGUCGUCUUUGGGGCACAUCUUAAAGAGAGACAGCCAACCACUUGGCCCAAGAUGAAGGUGAGGCUGAGAGAGGACCCCACUCCAGGCUGGUGUGAUGGAC